rnacentral:rRNA from 1 species
AUUGAACGCUGGCGGCAGGCUUAACACAUGCAAGUCGAGCGAGCGGCGGACGGGUGAGUAAUGUGUGGGAAACUGCCUGAUGGAGGGGGAUAACUACGGGAAACGGGAGCUAAUACCGCAUACAAUCAGAUGUGCCCAGAUGGGAUUGGCAAGUAGGGGGGGUAAUGGCUCACCUAGGCGAGGAUCCCGAGCUGGUCUGAGAGGUUGACCAGCCAAACUGGAACUGAGACACGGUCCAGACUCCUACGGUAGGCAGCAGUGGGGAAUAUGGCACAAGGGGCGCAAGCCUGAUGCAGCCAGGCCGCGUGUGUGAAGAAGGCCUUCGGGUCGUAAAGCACUUUCAGCGAGGAGGCGUUACUCGAAGAAGAAGCACCGGCUAACUCCGUGCCAGCAGCCGCGGUAAUAC